rnacentral:rRNA from 1 species
UACAGAGGGGGCAAGCGUUGUUCGGAAUUACUGGGCGUAAAGGGCGCGUAGGCGGCCUGCUAAGUCGAACGUGAAAUCCCCGGGCUCAACCCGGGAACUGCGUCCGAUACUGGCAGGCUUGAAUCCGGGAGAGGGAUGUGGAAUUCCAGGUGUAGCGGUGAAAUGCGUAGAUAUCGGAAGGAACAUCAGUGGCGAAAGCGACUUCCUGGACCAGUACCGACGUUCAGGCACGAAAGCGUGGGGAGCAAACAGG